UCUAAUCAUCUCAUCUCCUCACCCCUCACCUCUCACCCUCUUAAACCCUAACCCGCCAUCACCAUUUCCUUAUGAUUCCUAUCCAGAAAUGGAAUCAUUCCUUGAUUCCUUACCAUAUCUGCUCUUACCUCUUUACCAGCCACUCAUUUUUUAUAUUACUUGACUGGUUUGCCUCAAGUGGCAAUUUGCUCGAGAGAUUCGAACCAGAUCUGGUUCAAAAUCUCUUAUAUUUUGGUUAUUUUCGUCCGUGUUCAUCCCAAUAUUUCUCGUUUGUGAGAUCUGUUCAAAGCUGGGUAUUGAAGUUUCAAGGUCGUCAAGGUCCGGUCCGUUGAUUUCGCCAUUGAAGUUGUGGCCGAUUAGUUUUGUUCUGUUUAAAUGCCCCUAUUUCGGUUUCUUUUAGUUCUGUUCAAAUCGUUGUUGCCGGAUGUUCUUGUACUCGACAUCGCGAGAAGUUCUUAUAUCUGAAAUUUCCUCUUUUAAAGCUGCUGUUGA